rnacentral:rRNA from 1 species
GACGAACGCUGGCGGCGUGCCUAAUACAUGCAAGUCGAGCGGACGAAUCGAAAGCUUGCUUUUGAUUCGUUAGCGGCGGACGGGUGAGUAACACGUGGGCAACCUGCCCUGUAGACGGGGAUAACACCGAGAAAUCGGUGCUAAUACCGGAUAACACGAAAUGUCGCAUGACGUUUCGUUGAAAAAGGCGCAAGCCUUUCGCUACGGACGGGGCCGCGGCGCAUUAGCUAGUUGGUGAGGGAACGGCUCACCAAGGCGACGAUGCGUAGCCGACCUGAGAGGGUGAUCGGCCACACUGGGACUGAGACACGGCCCAGACUCCUACGGGAGGCAGCAGUAGGGAAUCUUCCGCAAUGGACGAAAGUCUGACGGAGCAACGCCGCGUGAGCGAAGAAGGCCUUCGGGUCGUAAAGCUCUGUUGUUAGGGAAGAACAAGUAACGCAGUAACUGGCGUUACCGUGACGGUACCUAACGAGAAAGCCACGGCUAACUACGUG